UACGAGGGGGGCGAGCGUUGUUCGGAAUUAUUGGGCGUAAAGGGAGCGUAGGCGGGUUAUCAAGUUGGGGGUGAAAGCCCGGGGCUCAACCUCGGAAUUGCCUUCAAAACUGAUAACCUGGAGUAUGGAAGAGGUAAGUGGAACUCCGAGUGUAGAGGUGAAAUUCGUAGAUAUUCGGAAGAACACCAGUGGCGAAGGCGACUUACUGGUCCAUUACUGACGCUGAGGCUCGAAAGCGUGGGGAGCAAACAGG
rnacentral:rRNA from 1 species